rnacentral:lncRNA from 1 species
CCCCAGUGCAUAAUACCGUCUCACUGAAAAAUAGUAUUUAAGGAGGCAUGUGCGUGCCUUUCCCAGAGUUCCUCCCACAGCGUCCAUGAAUGCCUCCAGAAUAUGGACGAGCAAGAUCUCAGUCAGUCUUUGACAUCAUGCAUUCCAUACAGAUCACAAUGCAAUAUUUGAACGAAUAUAU